UUGAGAUGGACGCUGAGCUGGUAUAGAACUACGAACAGUGGAGACUUGCGUCUGAGUUGGUAUAGAACUACGAACAGUGGAGACUUGCGUCUGAGGUGGUACAGAACUGCGCACUGUGGAGACUGGUGUCUGAGGUGGUACAGAACUGCGAACUGUGGAGACUUGCGUCUGAGGUGGUACAGAACUGCGAACUGUGGAGACUUGCGUCUGAGGUGGUACAGAACUGCGAACUGUGGAGACUUGCGUCUGAGGUGGUNN
rnacentral:lncRNA from 1 species